rnacentral:lncRNA from 1 species
UCCUACUCUGCAACGCAACUGUAACAUCCCGGAAUUCGAAAUAUUCAAAAUUAAGGACUAUUAUUCAAAAAUUUUCAAAACCAAACAUAGAAAUGCAACUCAUUUCUCCAAAUACUCAAACCCUAUUUGGAUAUUUAAAAGACAUAGGCAAGAGCUGCUCCUUUGUAUGUGCUUGAAUGCCCAAGAACUAUCGAUGCAAUCCAAAGCUUAAAAACACAAUUCAAAUUUGAAUCCAAAUUAAUUCCAAAAUCUUUCCAGACAAUUGCCAAACUACGCCGUUUCUUUUCUUUCUCUUCUCCAGCUCAGCCGGCCUCUUUUCCCCUUCUUUUUUCCACGUGACCUGCUUCUCUCUCUGACCUAGCGGCUCAGCCACCUCCCUUCUACCUGCUCCUAGCCUGCUCUCCCCACUCUGGCCCAGCUCUCUCCACCUCUUCCUCCCUUCCCACGCGGCCCAACAUACCUCCCCAGCCCAGUUCAUACACAACCCGGCACUACAGCGGCCCAGAGCGAAUUAUGUCACUUUGUCUCAUAUUACAUAUGGAUUACUAGAUCUAUAGAACUCCAAUCACUAGAAGCAGCUGGUUGCAUUCUAACCAAAAUCCAAAUGAAAAAUGAAUCCUCUUUUACUUAUUUGUGAUAGCUGUUGUGCAAUUAGUGCCUAGAAAUUCAACAAGAAAUAUUGGCUACCGGACUAGCAACACAUAUAAUCGACAAGUUACUAUACAUGAUCAUGCCGUCUGAACAAAUAUUUUAUAGUUAAUGGUUAUGGGGGACUGAACAUUUGAUCCUUCUCCAAUAUUGAAUUCCUACACCUUUCCUGGCUUUUCUUCCUACCUACCGAGGAGUCAAUUAGCUGAACCGCCAUCUGAUGCAAUACUUCUCUCGUCCCCUCCCUUUUCAGCCCUUGUAUAUUUCUCUUGUCAC